rnacentral:rRNA from 1 species
AGUUUGAUCCUGGCUCAGAUUGAACGCUGGCGGCAGGCUUAACACAUGCAAGUCGAGCGGGGAGAUGUAGCUUGCUACAUAUCCUAGCGGCGGACGGGUGAGUAAUGCUUAGGAAUCUGCCUAUUAGUGGGGGACAACGUUCCGAAAGGAACGCUAAUACCGCAUACGCCCUACGGGGGAAAGCAGGGGAUCUUCGGACCUUGCGCUAAUAGAUGAGCCUAAGUCGGAUUAGCUAGUUGGUGGGGUAAAGGCCUACCAAGGCGACGAUCUGUAGCGGGGUCUGAGAGGAUGAUCCGCCACACUGGGACUGAGACACGGCCCAGACUCCUACGGGAGGCAGCAGUGGGGAAUAUUGGACAAUGGGCGGAAGCCUGAUCCAGCCAUGCCGCGUGUGUGAAGAAGGCCUUUUGGUUGUAAAGCACUUUAAGCGAGGAGGAGGCUCCUUUAGUUAAUACCUAAAGUGAGUGGACGUUACUCGCAGAAUAAGCACCGGCUAACUCUGUG